GUGAGGAAUAUUGGACAAUGGAGGAAACUCUGAUCCAGCCAUGCCGCGUGAGUGAUGAAGGCCUUCGGGUUGUAAAGCUCUUUCGGGUGUGAAAAUGAUGAUGGUAACACCAGAAGAAGCCCCGGCUAACUCCGUGCCAGCAGCCGCGGUAAUACGGAGGGGGCGAGCGUUGUUCGGAAUCACUGGGCGUAAAGCGUGCGUAGGCGGUUAUACAAGUCAGGAGUGAAAUCCCAGGGCUCAACCUUGGAAUUGCUUUUGAGACUGUAUGACUAGAGAUCUAGAGAGGUUGGGGGAAUUCCGAGUGUAGAGGUGAAAUUCGCAGAUAUUCGGAGGAACACCAGUGGCGUAGGCGCCCAACUGGCUAGAUACUGACGCUGAGGCACGAAAGCGUGGGGAGCAAACAGGAUUAGAAACCCGAGUAGUCC
rnacentral:rRNA from 1 species